AGUUUAUAUCAGUUGAUAUUAAACCGUUCGAUGGCGUGUGAUUUUUAAGCGGAUGAAAUCGAGUUUUUAGAAAAAACGAAAUGCAGUUUUGUGGAAUUGUUAUUGAAUGAAUUGAAUAUUGAACAAAAAAAAAAACAAAUAAUGCGUGUUAUGAAUUGUUGAAUAAAUGUUGUUGUUAGUGGUCGGUCGGUUGUCGUAAACGUCAUCAUUGAAGAAGUUUGUUAUGUUGUUGUUUUUUUAAGUUAGUAUAUAAUUUUUGUUGUUUUUUUAUUAUUUUUCCUGUGCUUGUGUGUGUUUUUUUUGUAUGUUUCUCUGUUUGUUUUUAUUUACCGCUUAAAGUUGUUGAACAACUAAUUUUAUUGUUUGAACGUCUGGGCCCUCAUCUACCCGCCUGCCCGUUCGUUAGUCUGUCACCUCGAUUUAAGCCACUUUUAAAUUUACAAGUUCUAAUCAGCAGCCUCUAUAUAUACUCUCUUACUCCCUGAAGAACGGGUCGGUCUGUCGUUAAAUGUGUGUGUUGUUCGUUGUUUUUGUACUUCGUGUUUAGUUGUCGUUUCACUGUUUACGAUUCUAUCCAAACGUGUGCUAAGCUAUUUGUGUGGGUUCGAGAAAAGUAUCUGUGUAUGAAUAUGCUUGAGUAUCUGUCUGUCUGUCUGUCUGGCUGGUUGAUAAUGUAUAUGCCGCCUUUUGUUUUUCAACACAACAAUCAACUCCAAUCAGUUUGUUUAUAACCGGUCUAUGAAUCAGUUUGUGUGCGUUUUGUGUUACGCUUUUUCAAGAGUAGAAAUUUCAUAUAUUUCUAUAAGAAUAUUAAACGAAAAUUUUGUUUUUAAAAUGAAAAUAUAAAAAAAUUUGUUUUAAGAUUUUUCGGGAAAAUUUCAAAAUUUUUUUUCCAUAUUUUUAAGAAUUUAUUUUUUGAAAUUUUAAAGUGUUUUAGUGUUGUAUUCUGAUUCGUUACAUUAGUUAUUUAAAUCCCUAAAGUUAUCGGGAUUCAUCCAAAGAAUACAAAUUAUGAAAUUAAGCUGUUUUUAGCUGCAAUAAAUUGAAGAAGCAAUGCGAAAUGUUUAAGAAUAAUGAGUCUUGUAUAAAAGUUAUGUGAAAAUGAAUCUCAGUGUGUAAAAAGAAAUAAUAAAUAUUUUAUUAAUUUAUCUCCCCUUAAACCCAAAAAAAACUUAUAAAAAUGUAAUUUGUGAACAUGUUGUAAUAAAUAAAGCUCUAUAUUGAUACUUUUGGA